AAUGCACCAACUUGUAAGUAGCUCUGGAUAAGAGCGUCUGCUAAAUGACUUAAA
rfam:Salmo salar isolate Sally breed double haploid chromosome ssa11, whole genome shotgun sequence.